GGCUGGUGAGGCGCUGGAACAUGGUGGGAGAGUGAAACGGUCUCAGGGGGGCGCCCAGCGGCAGUGCAGAUACCUGGGAGGUGCAGAGAGGAGUCACAGCGCCCACCCGACUCCCGGCUAGGGAUAUCACCCCCAGCCCUCAGAGCAUAGUGAGAGUACGCUCUAAGGGAUGUGUGGGGAAGCUCUGCGGUGUGUGCGUGUCCUGGUAAAGAAACUGCGGCUCAGAGAGGUAAUGUAACUUGUGCAAAGUCUCACAGCUAAUAAGACACAGAAGUUGGAUUUAAACCCAUACAGUCAGAUUCCUGAGUCAGCACCCCCAAUCACUAUACUCCAUUGCCUUUGCUGGGUAUCUCUCUGGAUUAGACAGUUUUAACUUGGUGACCUGGGUAUUUUUCUGGGAAGAAGUUUUCAUCAUGAUUUCCUAACAUUACUCCUUGACCCCCCAGAUUAGGAACCACUACUUGAGCCUGUGUGGCUUGUAAAGUACUGGCUAGCAGAAAUCCCACAGAGCCGCUACCAUGUGAUUGCACAGCUCUCAUCUGUGUCUGUCAGAUGAGGUUCUAAGAUCCUAUUCCCAUGGGCCCUCCCCCCUCUCACCCCCUAUACCUAAGCUCCUGCUCAAGGGCAGCAUUCCUGGCUAGGAGGAAGAUCAGGUUGCCUGGCCUCAGAGAGACAGCAGGUCAGUGGGAGGUAAUGAUGAAGGGAGGGCCUAUCAAACCCCAGGAGCCCUUAAGGAUGAACAAUGAGGGUAAGACCAGGACCCAACCCCUCAAUCAGCCCUUCCCUGGAUGAAAAUAAGAAAGGAGAUCCCCUGCUCCAGGAAUAGAGAUGUCAAGGAGGUGGCUAUAGACCUGCCCUUCUCCCCACUUCAGCCUGCCUUAGGACUAGGCCUGGCUAGGAGUCCCCUGGAUGUCCCAAAGCUUGAGCCUCCUCACCUAUCCCCUGAAGAUGGUCAACCAUUUUGCUACUGAGACACUUGUCACCUUCCUCUAGGGAUGUUUCCACAUUUCCUGUAGAACUCCCUGAGGGCAUGUCUACUUUUCUAUUCCCUGGAGGCAGUCUACACUUACUGCUAACCCACCUGAGUUAUUUCUAUGCUUGUUGCUAUCCCUCCCAUUUCUGGGAUAUGUUUUCAUAUUUGCCACAGAAUCAUCCAACCUCCAUAAACAGAGUAUUUCCACAUUUGCAAACCCACAGUGGGCUCCAGACAGAAGUAUUCCCUGGGUGCUGGCUUCUCUGGUGGGAAAUCUACAGAGAUUAUGAUAAAAGGUUGGGCACCCCCAACUAGUGUCUGCCUGAUACAAGCCACAUAUCCCAACCUGUCUGUCGGCCAUAGGGAGUCAGUGAUUCAGUUACCAAAAAUCCUGAAAGUUUGGCCCCUCCUGAAGGAAGAGAAGGUUGGAGCCUUGGUGAGGGCCAUCAUAUUCACCUGGCCCAUUUUACAACCUGAGAAUCAGAGGAAAUCAGUCUAUCCAAAGACACACACUAGAUGGUGGCCAGGCAGGUCUAGUCCCAGGACACUAAACAUCCAGCCCAGAGUAUACAUAGGAAGGCCUCAGCAAACAAUCACCCAAAAAUAUAAUGAGGCAGGGGAGAUAGGGAGGUCAGAGAGGAGUCAGAACUUUUCAAGUUACUGCUCACCUCAAAACCCCUCUGCCCAGCUAUAAAAGGGUUUAGAGUUCCUAACACCAAGAUUCAUCAUGCAUUUACCAGAGCACCCACUGUGUACCAGAACCCAUUGGGGGUCUCCUCAAAUUAUAGACAGAUUAAGGUAAAAGAGGUUCAGUGGGAGGAAGCUCCCUGCCUGAAGUCACACAGCAAAUAAGUGACAGAGCCAGGAGUGACAGCAGCACCAGCCAGCCAGUGCCCACCCCCUCUCAUGACCACUGGGGGAGCCUCCCAGAUUUGCUUUCCCAGCUUUGCCAGCUUCCUGGUUCUCACAUUCCCAGUUCUGCUCCAGGGAGAACCAUUCCCUUUAAUAACUACAGCAGCUGUGCCCAGAAUAGCUCUUGAGCCCCAAGCCACUUCUACCCCACCCAUCCUUUAGCAAAGCCCAGGCUGGGAUGGGACUCUUGGCCCAGUCUCUGGGCCCAUCCACUUGGAAAGCCAGAACUCUCCUUCUCCUACUCCCUUCUCCUGGCCCUCUCUGUAAGCAGAGAAGGGGGCAGCACAAGCCUAGUAAUCACCAGCACUAGGCCAGGUCAUGUCCUUCUCAGCUGACAAUGCUAGGGGUUGGGGAGGUAAUAAAGGGCCAAGCAGGGAACUCUCACCCUCCAUCCUACCCCAACAUCAGCCCCAGAGACACCCUGAGGCAGCCAAUGACUCACCUUUCUGUGGUCAGAAAUUUUGAUGCAGCAAUUUUAUUGGGCUCUGGGUCUCCAAGGUUCAGAGUGAGGGUCAGGGCCACAAAAGGGGACCAGGUCUCCAGAGGCCUCCUGGAAAAAGAUCCAGGAAUGAGGGGACCUAAGAGCUCCAUAAAAUUUGGAUGGCAAUGAGCCCAAGGUGGAGGAGUCCCCAGUGUUAGGAGGAUGUGUAACUUGUUACUUGUAUUGAGUUCCUACUAGGCAUGUGCCAUGGCUAAUGCAUCUAUCAUUCACUCAGUAGGUAUGACUCUAAUUAGCUUCAUGACCUGGAGUAAACAAUUUCCCCCCUCUGUGCUUCAGUUUCCUCUUCGGUGAAAUGGAGUCCAAGACCCCUUGUUUGGGGGUUGGGAGUGACAUCCUCUAAAGCGCUGCACACAACAGCGAUUAGGAAGAUCAGGCUCCGGCUUGGUAGUCCCGGGGGUGCAGAGCUUGGAGCUGGAGAGAGGGUAUUCCGCCAUCUGGCGCUGCCCCCCAACGACCUAGAAGUGGAGCUCUGGGCUGCCUCUGAACUCCAACCUACAGCCAGCAGCGCCGCCCGGACCUAAGUAGGGGAUCAGAGGCCUGACUACAGCACCUGGGUUAGCCCAGGAAACUGCCGAGGCCCUUCCGGGCCUGCUGCCUUUCAGCGUUCCUCACCCGUGAGCCAAGCCCCGACCCAGCGCUUACCGGGUCACCGGAGGACAGGCGACCCGAGCCGGGGGGGCGGUGCCGGCCUUGGUGACGUCUCAAUGUCAUAUGCAAAUAGAGAGACGUCACGGUCUACCAGCGUGCGGCAGCCAAUCGGGAGAUGGAAAUGCAGCCCGGCCACCGCCGGCGGAGACAAAGACCCGGGAGCCGGGAGCUCGGGGCGUGUCCAGAGACGCGGGACCCCCUGGGCCGAAGCCGGUCUGGACUCACCUUGGGGAGGGGGAGGUACGGCGGGUGGGGUGGCUCUGAGGUAGUUGCGCGGCGGAGCGUCCGGGCGUCGGCGCUGAUCACAGGCCGGGCUGCAUCGCGGGGCUGGACUGGGAGGCGGCCGGGCUCCGGCUUGGAAGCUCGCGGCGGCUGCGCUCGCCUGCGGGGCUUUGAGACUGUGCAGCCGCUGCUGGGCUCACCGCACAAAUUGGAACGUUCAAACAGCUGAUUGUGACGUCACAAAGGAGCCCGCCCGCCUAGCGUCACCGGCCGGCGGAGCGGUGGCCAAUCGCAAGCUUCGGAUCCCCCCUCCCCACCCCCUCCGCGAUCCGCUGGAUAGUGGCUCCUUCCAGACUCCGAGCCUCGGGGGCCUCCCAGAGAGGCCACUGCUGAGUUCUUUGACCCCUAGCUCCAAGGGAAACCUACAGACCUCUUAAUGAGGACGGUCCCCACUCCCUACGAGAUCCCCAUCUUCUGCAUUUCCUGGAUAUGCCCUAGCGCCCUCACCUAGCCCACUGUCCCCCAUAUCCUUUCACAGGGAUCCUCUCUCCAAAUCCCCUAAUCCGUACUCUUUUCUCAACUCCACGUCCGUGCACGUCCAUUCUUCCCAUCAACCUUCCCUCUUCUCUCACCUCACCCCUUCACAUUCUCUGCUUUCCCCGCUCUAUUUUUCCUGAGCCUGGCAGGCUUGGGAGGUACGGGACAUCCCUUUCCCUGGUUCCAGGGGAGCACCCAGGAAUGUAAAGGAAUUGGCUCGGUUGACGGGAAGUUUUUCAGAAUGGGACUUGAAGAGGAAUUGCCCUGGACUGAAUAGCCCAUCUGGAGAUGGCUCUGUACUGGAACAUUUAUGCUUUAUUUAAUCCACAUUGCUACCAGGGCUGACAGGACAAGGAUUAUUAGGUCUGAUUUACACACAGCGGAACUUACAGGCUCACAAAUCUCACUGUUAGUAUGUGGAUUAAUUUUCAAUUAUGCAUUCAACAAAGAUUUAUUGAGUACCUAGUAUUGCCACUGCCAGACCACUAACUGACAUUUACUAAACACUGAGUGCCAGGCACCAAUUGUACUCUAUAACACUUUAUAUGUGUUUUGAUUUUCACAACAACCCCAAAAGGUGAGUAUUCUCCCCAUUUUCCAUUUGAGGACGCAGACUCAGCCUGACUUCCUACAGGUUGCGAAGCUAUGGUAAAUAGCAGAACCAGGAUCUGAAACCAUAGUUCCUGGCCCCAACCCUCUUCACUCUCUACAUGCAUCAGAUUGUCCAAACCCCAUAGUGCUUCAGCCUCCCCAGGGAAACCUAGGCCUAGUCCUGACUGCCUCAAACUUGCUGUGUGGCCUCAAGGAAGUCAUGUUACCUCUGUGGCCCUCAAUUUUUUUUUUCUGUCAAAUUUAACAUGUCCAAGCAUCUAGAGAUUCUUUCAAAUUCUCUACCCUCAGGAUUCUACCAAGCCCAUGUUCUAGACCCUGUCUCUCCCAAUGGCCUGGGAAAUACCUAAGGUGAGACCACAAAUACACAUCCUCUGAAUCUCCAGGGCUGGAGGUUCUGGGUCCUCUCUCAGUAGAGCAGGACUGGUGGGGGUGGGUCUGAGAGCUGCCCAUCUGGCCCAACAGGAGGCAGGGAGUGAGCUAGGCCAGAGCUUCAUGCUCUGCUGAUAAAAUCCUGCCCCAGCCUAGUCUGAAACUCCAGAGGGACUCCUCAGCCCUAGCAACUAGGAGGAGCCAGGAAAUAAAACCCAGACGCUUCUGGGGGGAGGAGCAGCAGUGUUUUGGCCCUUGGUGUGGUGUCCCCAAAGUGUCAUUCUGUGCAACCCUGAACCUCUGUUCUUUGCAUCUACUUCUUGCUAACUUCAUAUCCUCUCUUGACCUCCUUGCUGACUUAAAUGAAAUAAUCCCUAAUACUCCUCUCUCAUCACACCAUUUGCCUCUUCUAAAAACUUCUGUGGCUCCCAACGUAUCACACCCCUUAACACAGCAUUUGUUAAUUUGUUCAGCCUUCCAUGAACCAGUCCUAGCUCUCUCCGGCUUCAUCCCCACUUCUCCUGUAUGCAGCUUGUGCUAAUGUCAAAUUCCUGUCUCCUUAACACUCUCCCACAGUUGUGGUAUUGCUCAAGCUGUUUCCCUCUUGAGGGAAUGCCCUCUUCAGGCCUUUGUGAAUGCAUAUAUUUUCUGUCUUCAGGACUCUACUCACACCUUCUUCCUCCAGGUAGCCUUCUCCACCCUACUUUGAUGGACAGUCAUUUAUUCAAUAAACAAGAGGUAGUGAUGACUAAAUGUGUGUGUGUGUGUGUGUGUGUGUGUGUGUGUUCCUAAAUGGAUGGUUGGCAUCCCAAGGGCGUAAUCUCUGUCCAUAUACUACCCCCACCCAGCCUAUGCUGGGACUGGCAGAGUAGACUCCAAUCAAAAGCUCAGCAUUUACAGCUCAAGAAGGGUGGCUGGUAUAGGAAUCUUCACCUGGAUCCUGGACCCUGGUGUAGGGAGCAUUCUGUUGGGCACAGGAUUUUCAUUUCUCAAGCCCAGGGAAGGGGCCUCUGGCAUACACUCUGAUGAGCUAGAUUCUGCUCCCAGCUUUGGCUGAACCCCAUGUACAGGCUGCUAGGGCAGAUCCCAGUCUUCCAUUUCUCUGUAGAAUCAGAGGUACCCAUGGAAGUAGCGGUAUCCUCUCCUGAAACCCCUAGGACCCAUCCCUCUGCACUGUAGAUUUAUUAUCAGGGUUGGAGGACACCUCAGAUCUUAAUUCAUCCAAACUCCUUAUCUUACAGGUGGAGAAACUGAGGCACACAGGCACAGAGAGGUCAAGUUACCUGCUUAGAAUUGUAGACCAGCAGAGCUAUCUAUUGAACCUGGUGGCAAAGGAGUGGGGGAGCAUUCCCAUGUUGGCCUUGGAGGAGCAAACUGCCAUGUUUUGGAGAGGGCCACAUGGCAAGGACCCAAGAGGGGCCUCUAGAAGCUGAGAGCAGCCCCCAGAUAACAGAUAGCAAUAAAAUAAGGAUCUUAAUAAUAUGGCUGCAAGGAAAUGAAUUCUGCCAACAACCUGAGGGAGCCUGGAAGAAAAAGUUUCCCUAUUUGAGUCUU